rnacentral:misc_RNA from 1 species
CAGUAUGUGGCAUACGAAACAUUCUGAAAUUUCAUUAAUACAGUACUACAAUGAAACACGACUAUUAUGAUUCUAUUAGUAUUUGAAAUCGAUUCAAUAAAAAUUUUAUCUUUACUAUCAUCUUGUUACGUCUCUUCAUCACUUAUUGCUUUAAACAAUUUCUGCACUUGUAUCAGUAACUUUUCAAUAGUAUUUGUUCUUGCUCAAAUUUCAAAUUUCGAUUCAGAUUAUCGACAAAGUUCUCUAAGUUACGGAGUUGCACACGCCUGAAAACGAAGUUUGCUAGACUGAAGCUUGCCAAACGCUAGUCGAGAAAGGGCAAAUACGGUUUUCGGCUUGGUACUGAUGGACAAAGGAUUUUCUCUGGGACAUGACGUGAGAUUUUUCAAAGAUAACAUUUUCCUGGGCUUUCCUUCGGUAUGUCUGCAUAAGGAUAACGUUGAAAGCUACGUAAUUAAAUGAUAAGGUAAUUUCUCGGAAUACGACCAUUCUGUUUGCUACGUUCCUGUGUUGUAAUCUUAUUUAUUUAAAUGGCACCAUUUGAAUAUUUGUGAUUCUUAUGUUCA